UGAAGAGUUUGAUCAUGGCUCAGAUUGAACGCUGGCGGCAGGCUUAACACAUGCAAGUCGAACGAUGAUUAUCUAGCUUGCUAGAUAUGAUUAGUGGCGGACGGGUGAGUAACAUUUAGGAAUCUGCCUAGUAGUGGGGGAUAGCUCGGGGAAACUCGAAUUAAUACCGCAUACGACCUACGGGUGAAAGGGGGCGCAAGCUCUUGCUAUUAGAUGAGCCUAAAUCAGAUUAGCUAGUUGGUGGGGUAAAGGCCCACCAAGGCGACGAUCUGUAACUGGUCUGAGAGGAUGAUCAGUCACACCGGAACUGAGACACGGUCCGGACUCCUACGGGAGGCAGCAGUGGGGAAUAUUGGACAAUGGGCGAAAGCCUGAUCCAGCCAUGCCGCGUGUGUGAAGAAGGUCUUCGGAUUGUAAAGCACUUUAAGUUGGGAGGAAGGGCAGUAAAUUAAUACUUUGCUGUUUUGACGUUACCGACAGAAUAAGCACCGGCUAACUCUGUGCCAGCAGCCGCGGUAAUACAGAGGGUGCAAGCGUUAAUCGGAAUUACUGGGCGUAAAGCGCGCGUAGGUGGUUCGUUAAGUUGGAUGUGAAAUCCCCGGGCUCAACCUGGGAACUGCAUUCAAAACUGACGAGCUAGAGUAUGGUAGAGGGUGGUGGAAUUUCCUGUGUAGCGGUGAAAUGCGUAGAUAUCUGGAAGAACACCGAUGGCGAAGGCAACCUCCUGGGCCUGUUUUGACGCUGAGGCACGAAAGCGUGGGUAGCAAACAGGAUUAGAUACCCUGGUAGUCCACGCCGUAAACGAUGAAUGCCAGUCGUCGGGUUGCAUGCAAUUCGGUGACACACCUAACGGAUUAAGCAUUCCGCCUGGGGAGUACGGUCGCAAGAUUAAAACUCAAAGGAAUUGACGGGGGCCCGCACAAGCGGUGGAGCAUGC
rnacentral:rRNA from 1 species